rnacentral:rRNA from 1 species
CGCAUCUGUGCAUGCAGCAUAUCAAUAAGCGGAGGAAAAGAAACUAACAAGGAUUCCCCUAGUAACGGCGAGUGAAGCGGGAAGAGCUCAAAUUUGAAAUCUUAAAGGGUUUCCCUUUACGAAUUGUAGUUUAAAGAAGUGUUUUCUGUUGAGGUUUUGGUAAAAGUUCUUUGGAAUAGGACAUCAUAGAGGGUGAGAAUCCCGUAUUUGACCUUUACUUUCAACUUUGUGAUACACUUUCAAAGAGUCGGAUUGUUUGGGAAUGCAGUCCAAAAUGGGUGGUAAAUUUCAUCUAAAGCUAAAUAUUGGCGAGAGACCGAUAGCGAACAAGUACCGUGAGGGAAAGAUGAAAAGAACUUUGAAAAGAGAGCUAAACAGUACGUGAAAUUGUCAAAAGGGAAGCGUUUGACACCAGUGCUGUUUUUCUGAAAAUCAAUUAAAGAACUGUUUAUGCUAAGCUGUUUAGACUUUAUCAGCUAACUGUUUAGUUUUGAGCUUUUCUUUAAUGCACUCUUCAGUUAACAAGUCAACAUCAAUUUCUUUUGCUGUAAAAAAGCUUGAGGAAGGUGGCUUGAGAUUCGUCUUAAGUGUUUAUAGCCUCUUGCCUAUGCAGUCGGAGAGAUUGAGGUCUGCAGCGUAGAUCCUUCGGGGCUAAAUGCAUUUGUGCUAAGUUAUAGCAUUUUAUAGACAACUUGUUGACUAUGAUUUGUCUUGUAGCUUACUCGCUUAUGUUAUUUUACCUACGCUUAGGAUGUUGAAUCUGUGCGAGACUAC